AUGGCCGCCGCCGAGCAGGAGCCGGACGCCGGCGGCCCGCGCAAGAAGCCGGACGCCGGCGCCGGGAAGCGGUGGGGCGGCGAGGACGGCGCGCGGAGCCGCGACGCCUCGCCGGCCGCGCCCCGCGAGGACGCCGGGAAGGACGGGGCGCUGGCGGAGUGUGCCGUCUCGUGCUGCGUCUUCUGCGCGUGCCUGCCGGUGGCCGUGCUCUGCUGCGUGGCGCGCGCGCCCGUCCGCGCCGCGCGCCGGUGCUGGCGGCUGAGGCGGCGGCGGCGGCCGGCGCGGCGCCUCGCGCCCGGAGGGUCCUCGUCCUUCUCCGACGCCGAGCUCGGGGACCUCCGGCAGGGGCGGGUGCGGACAAUGGCGGACGAGGACGGCGGGGCCGGAUCGCCGGCGUCCCCGCGGCAACCGCCCCCGCGGGAGGAUCGGAGGAGAUAG
rnacentral:rRNA from 1 species